UUUAAGUUUGGGCUCUGUCACCUAAUACCUCAGUGACCUUGGGCAAGUCUCAGGCAGAGCUUUUGGUUUCAGCUUUUUUUUUUCUUUUUAAGGUUUUAUAUUAUUUAUUCAUGAGAGACACACAGAGAGAGGCAGAGACACAGGCAGAGGGAGAACCAGGCUCCCUGCGGGGAGCCCGACGCGGGACUCGAUCCCAGGACCUCGGGAUCAUGCUCAACCACAGAGCCACCCAGGAGUCCCUCGGUUUCACCUUUCAGAGCUUCCAUUUCCUUAUCUAAAGAAAGGAAAGAACUGCUACUCAUGGGAGAGGCUCUGAUGCCAGAUCCAGAAGCUAAGCCUACUUCUGAAGAAUGGACACAAAAAUAACAUCUUCAAGUCUUCAGCACACAUCUGUGUAUUUGAAUUAAUGUGUUGUGUUUCUUAAACCUUUGGAGCAAUGGAAGCCCUGAAAUUAAAAUAGUGAAAUAUGAGUCCUAUCUGGCCUCAGCCAUCCUCCUGAUUUAUUGGGGGUGCUUACACCUUAGUCUAUGCCUUAUGGUUCCCCAUCUGAAAAAAGAGGUGCUGGAUUUCAAGGUGUUCAUCUCAAGACCAACCUCCUGCAUGCCAACUUCUGCCUCAAAGGAAGAGGGGAGCCCAACUGUAAAAGUGUUGAAGAACACAGUGAAAAUGAGGAAUAUGAUUCACUUGAGCCCACUGAGUAUUGACUUCUUUAUUGUCAGACUACAAGAAUGAUGGACAAUGAGUAAAGAUUCUGCUUUUCCG
rnacentral:lncRNA from 1 species